UCCCCCAUAGCUCAACUGGCAGAGCAUUCGACUGUUAAUCGGAGGGUUAUUGGUUCGAGUCCAAUUGGGGGAG
rnacentral:tRNA from 1 species